GCGGGGCAGCGCGGCGGAGAG
rnacentral:misc_RNA from 1 species